rnacentral:rRNA from 1 species
UACGUAGGGGGCAAGCGUUGUCCGGAUUUAUUGGGCGUAAAGAGCGUGUAGGCGGUUAGGUAGGUGGGUUGUGAAAACUGGAGGCUCAACCUUCAGACGUCGACCCAAACCCCCUGGCUAGAGUCCGGAAGAGGAGAGUGGAAUUCCUGGUGUAGCGGUGAAAUGCGCAGAUAUCAGGAAGAACACCCGUGGCGAAGGCGGGCUCUGU